UUAAGCGACUAAGCGUACACGGUGGAUGCCCUGGCAGUCAGAGGCGAUGAAGGACGUGCUAAUCUGCGAUAAGCGUCGGUAAGGUGAUAUGAACCGUUAUAACCGGCGAUUUCCGAAUGGGGAAACCCAGUGUGUUUCGACACACUAUCAUUAACUGAAUCCAUAGGUUAAUGAGGCGAACCGGGGGAACUGAAACAUCUAAGUACCCCGAGGAAAAGAAAUCAACCGAGAUUCCCCCAGUAGCGGCGAGCGAACGGGGAGCAGCCCAGAGCCUGAAUCAGUGUGUGUGUUAGUGGAAGCGUCUGGAAAGGCGCGCGAUACAGGGUGACAGCCCCGUACACAAAAAUACACAUACUGUGAGCUCGAUGAGUAGGGCGGGACACGUGGUAUCCUGUCUGAAUAUGGGGGGACCAUCCUCCAAGGCUAAAUACUCCUGACUGACCGAUAGUGAACCAGUACCGUGAGGGAAAGGCGAAAAGAACCCCGGCGAGGGGAGUGAAAAAGAACCUGAAACCGUGUACGUACAAGCAGUGGGAGCACGCUUAGGCGUGUGACUGCGUACCUUUUGUAUAAUGGGUCAGCGACUUAUAUUCUGUAGCAAGGUUAACCGAAUAGGGGAGCCGAAGGGAAACCGAGUCUUAACUGGGCGUUAAGUUGCAGGGUAUAGACCCGAAACCCGGUGAUCUAGCCAUGGGCAGGUUGAAGGUUGGGUAACACUAACUGGAGGACCGAACCGACUAAUGUUGAAAAAUUAGCGGAUGACUUGUGGCUGGGGGUGAAAGGCCAAUCAAACCGGGAGAUAGCUGGUUCUCCCCGAAAGCUAUUUAGGUAGCGCCUCGUGAAUUCAUCUCCGGGGGUAGAGCACUGUUUCGGCAAGGGGGUCAUCCCGACUUACCAACCCGAUGCAAACUGCGAAUACCGGAGAAUGUUAUCACGGGAGACACACGGCGGGUGCUAACGUCCGUCGUGAAGAGGGAAACAACCCAGACCGCCAGCUAAGGUCCCAAAGUCAUGGUUAAGUGGGAAACGAUGUGGGAAGGCCCAGACAGCCAGGAUGUUGGCUUAGAAGCAGCCAUCAUUUAAAGAAAGCGUAAUAGCUCACUGGUCGAGUCGGCCUGCGCGGAAGAUGUAACGGGGCUAAACCAUGCACCGAAGCUGCGGCAGCGACGCUUAUGCGUUGUUGGGUAGGGGAGCGUUCUGUAAGCCUGUGAAGGUGUACUGUGAGGUAUGCUGGAGGUAUCAGAAGUGCGAAUGCUGACAUAAGUAACGAUAAAGCGGGUGAAAAGCCCGCUCGCCGGAAGACCAAGGGUUCCUGUCCAACGUUAAUCGGGGCAGGGUGAGUCGACCCCUAAGGCGAGGCCGAAAGGCGUAGUCGAUGGGAAACAGGUUAAUAUUCCUGUACUUGGUGUUACUGCGAAGGGGGGACGGAGAAGGCUAUGUUGGCCGGGCGACGGUUGUCCCGGUUUAAGCGUGUAGGCUGGUUUUCCAGGCAAAUCCGGAAAAUCAAGGCUGAGGCGUGAUGACGAGGCACUACGGUGCUGAAGCAACAAAUGCCCUGCUUCCAGGAAAAGCCUCUAAGCAUCAGGUAACAUCAAAUCGUACCCCAAACCGACACAGGUGGUCAGGUAGAGAAUACCAAGGCGCUUGAGAGAACUCGGGUGAAGGAACUAGGCAAAAUGGUGCCGUAACUUCGGGAGAAGGCACGCUGAUAUGUAGGUGAAGCGACUUGCUCGUGGAGCUGAAAUCAGUCGAAGAUACCAGCUGGCUGCAACUGUUUAUUAAAAACACAGCACUGUGCAAACACGAAAGUGGACGUAUACGGUGUGACGCCUGCCCGGUGCCGGAAGGUUAAUUGAUGGGGUCAGCGCAAGCGAAGCUCUUGAUCGAAGCCCCGGUAAACGGCGGCCGUAACUAUAACGGUCCUAAGGUAGCGAAAUUCCUUGUCGGGUAAGUUCCGACCUGCACGAAUGGCGUAAUGAUGGCCAGGCUGUCUCCACCCGAGACUCAGUGAAAUUGAACUCGCUGUGAAGAUGCAGUGUACCCGCGGCAAGACGGAAAGACCCCGUGAACCUUUACUAUAGCUUGACACUGAACAUUGAGCCUUGAUGUGUAGGAUAGGUGGGAGGCUUUGAAGUGUGGACGCCAGUCUGCAUGGAGCCGACCUUGAAAUACCACCCUUUAAUGUUUGAUGUUCUAACGUUGACCCGUAAUCCGGGUUGCGGACAGUGUCUGGUGGGUAGUUUGACUGGGGCGGUCUCCUCCUAAAGAGUAACGGAGGAGCACGAAGGUUGGCUAAUCCUGGUCGGACAUCAGGAGGUUAGUGCAAUGGCAUAAGCCAGCUUGACUGCGAGCGUGACGGCGCGAGCAGGUGCGAAAGCAGGUCAUAGUGAUCCGGUGGUUCUGAAUGGAAGGGCCAUCGCUCAACGGAUAAAAGGUACUCCGGGGAUAACAGGCUGAUACCGCCCAAGAGUUCAUAUCGACGGCGGUGUUUGGCACCUCGAUGUCGGCUCAUCACAUCCUGGGGCUGAAGUAGGUCCCAAGGGUAUGGCUGUUCGCCAUUUAAAGUGGUACGCGAGCUGGGUUUAGAACGUCGUGAGACAGUUCGGUCCCUAUCUGCCGUGGGCGCUGGAGAACUGAGGGGGGCUGCUCCUAGUACGAGAGGACCGGAGUGGACGCAUCACUGGUGUUCGGGUUGUCAUGCCAAUGGCACUGCCCGGUAGCUAAAUGCGGAAGAGAUAAGUGCUGAAAGCAUCUAAGCACGAAACUUGCCCCGAGAUGAGUUCUCCCUGACUCCUUGAGAGUCCUGAAGGAACGUUGAAGACGACGACGUUGAUAGGCCGGGUGUGUAAGCGCAGCGAUGCGUUGAGCUAACCGGUACUAAUGAACCGUGAGGCUUAACCUU
rnacentral:rRNA from 1 species